rnacentral:rRNA from 1 species
UACGUAGGGUGCAAGCGUUGUCCGGAAUUAUUGGGCGUAAAGCGCACGUAGGCGGUUUGUUAAGUCGGAUGUGAAAUCCCUCGGCUCAACUGAGGAAGUGCAUCCGAAACUGGCAGGCUUGAGUACUAAAGAGGGUCGCGGAAUUCCCGGUGUAGAGGUGAAAUUCGUAGAUAUCGGGAGGAACACCGGUGGCGAAGGCGGCGACCUGGGUAGAUACUGACGCUGAGGUGCGAAAGCGUGGGGAGCAAACAGG